GGUGGCGGUGGGGAUCGAUCGCGCGAUGCACGCGUGCGAGACGAGAGCGCUAACCACUACACCAUUCGAAAC